UACAGAGGGUGCGAGCGUUAAUCGGAAUUACUGGGCGUAAAGCGUGCGUAGGCGGCGAGUUAAGUCUGUCGUGAAAGCCCCGGGCUCAACCUGGGAAUGGCGAUGGAUACUGGCUCGCUAGAGUGCGGUAGAGGGUAGUGGAAUUCCCGGUGUAGCAGUGAAAUGCGUAGAGAUCGGGAGGAACAUCUGUGGCGAAGGCGACUACCUGGACCAGCACUGACACUGAGGCACGAAAGCGUGGGGAGCAAACAGG
rnacentral:rRNA from 1 species